rnacentral:rRNA from 1 species
GAGUUUGAUUCUGGCUCAGGAUGAACGCACAAGACGUGCCUAACACAUGCAAAUCGAAUGAAAACAAUUUAAUUAAAUUGUUUUCAUGGUGAACGGGUGAGUAACACAUAAGAAUCAGCUUUUAGAUAAGGCAUAAAAGAGUAAUAUCUUGGUAAUUCCUUAUAUGCGCAGCAGUGCUUAAAAAGGGGACUCCCGUCUAAAAACGAGCUUAUGCCUGAUUAGCUAGUUGGCGAGUUAAAAGCUCACCAAGGCGAAGAUCAGUAGCUGGCCUGAGAGGGCGGCCAGCCACAUUGGGACUGAGACACGGCCCAAACUCCUACGGGAGGCAGCAGUGGGGAAUCUUCUGCAAUGGGCGCAAGCCUGACAGAGCGGCGUCAUGUGAAGGAAGAAGGCCUGAAAUAGGUUGUAAACUUCUUUUACUGAGUAAUGAAUACUGACAACGCAGUAAAAAAGUAUCGGCUAACUCCGUGCCAGCAGCCGCGGUAAUACGGGGGAUGCAAGCGUUAUCCGGAAUCACUGGGCGUAAAGCGUCUGUAGGUGGUUUAGUGUGUUCUUAGUUAAAUUAUGAAGCCUAACUUCAUGAAAAGUAAGAAAACUAUUAGACUUGAGUACGAUAGGGGUAAGAGGAAUUCUUCGAGAAGUAGUGAAAUGCGAAGAUACGAAGGAGAAGAUCAUAAGCGAAGGCUUCUUACUGGGUCGUAACUGACACUGAGAGACGAAAGCUAGUGGAGCGAAUGGGAUUAGAUACCCCAGUAGUCCUAGCUGUAAACGAUGGAUAUUCGGUGCCGGAUUUUAUUAGAACAUUUCGGUACCCUAGCUAACGCGUUAAAUAUCCCGCCUGAGGAGUACGCUCGCAAGGGUGAAACUCAAAGGAAUUGACGGGGGCUCGCACAAGCGGUGGAGCAUGUGGUUUAAUUCGAUGCAAAGCGAAGAA